UGGUCGCGCACCCGGCUCACCUCAACAACAAAGCGCGGUUUCCUCCCUCGCCAUCCUUCCUCGUGGUCGCGCACCCGGUUGGAUUUCACAGUCAUGGAAGUUCUGCUUUAAAAUCCGUUUCUGAAGAAGUGUUAAUGUAUAAGAAAAACAGCAGACGAACACCAGGUGAGGGAGAGUGUAUUAAACACCUGGACGGUACUCCGCAAAUAUGACACAGUCACCAAAGACAAGUUUGAGAAUCUGUCUCAGACAAGAUCUUGACACUGCUGACCAGGGACAAAAUGUCCCAUUGACAGUCAUGCUCUGGAGCAGGAUGGGCAGUGAGAGACCAGAGACCACAGGAUGGGUAAGAAAUAGCCCAGCUCAGGCUACUGGGUUGAAGAACUGCCAGAGCGUGAUCGCCAACGUGCAGAUUUCUGAUCUACGUGUAAUGUAGAAGCUGACUGUUCUGUAUCUGACGUUUCAUUUAGAGUCUAUGAAGUAGCUUAGGCCAAUUACUCAUAGCCGCCUGCCCCUCCUCAGUUACCUGGACAUAUGUCUUGUGUUCUGGAAUCAAAACUAAUUCUGAAUGCAUAUCCUGAAAACAUGGGACACUUACUCAGAUUUCACUCUUGGGUGUCAUUGGCCUUUUAAUUAUUUUCUAUCAAUAGACCGACCUUAGAUUUACUUGUCAAAAAAAGUAAGGUCAUUUUAUGAGCACUUUCAUUCCAAUUUCCUAGAUGUCUUUUCUGAUUAGAAAAACCUAUAAACUAUGUAGCUUUGAAUUUAUAGAAUCAUUAUUCCUGAAGGUUUUGCUGUCCUUUGCGCUCAGAGAUGGUCCCACUGACUCAGAGAUGGUCCCACUGACCCAGCAUGGCAGAGCCUGUGAUUGCAGCUCCAGGGGCCCUCAAUUCAUUUGUUUCCCUGCCUCUCCAUCUCCCCAUGUUAUCCUGUCACCCCAAAAAGCACCUGCCUGCAACACGGUCAACAGAGUCCAUCCAUAGAGUCCCGCUGGUUCAGCUGGUUGUUUCCAGCUUUUUGACCGUGACCCACCAAGAGAAGCUCAUCUUAACUAGCAAUGCAAAUGACACACUUAUACAUGUGCACACACACAGAGCACUUCAAAAAGCAACACUUUAUUAACUAUGCUACUUCUAAAGCAUUUUAAUCCCAGCUCUUAACUUUUGCAGAAAGUGUUUAUAAGCAUUCAAUUGAUUACUAUUCACAGUUAGAAAAAAAUAUAUUGGUCACGUAUGUGGUAAUAAAACUGCAAAGUGUACCGAG
rnacentral:lncRNA from 1 species